rnacentral:rRNA from 1 species
CAGUAGCCGCGGGAAUACGUAGGUGGCAAGCGUUGUCCGGAAUUAUUGGGCGUAAAGGGCUCGCAGGCGGUUUCUUAAGUCUGAUGUGAAAGCCCCCGGCUCAACCGGGGAGGGUCAUUGGAAACUGGGAAACCUGAGUGCAGAAGAGGAGAGUGGAAUUCCACGUGUAGCGGUGAAAUGCAUAGAGAUGUGGAGGAACACCAGUGGCGAAGGCGACUCUCUGGUCUGUAACCGACGCUGAGGAGCGAAAGCGUGGGGAGCGAACAGGAUUAGAUACCCCUGUAGUCCCUGUCUCUUAUAC